CAGCCGCCGCGGUAAAACGUAGGUGGCAAGCGUUGUCCGGAAUUAUUGGGCGUAAAGGGCUCGCAGGCGGUUUCUUAAGUCUGAUGUGAAAGCCCCCGGCUCAACCGGGGAGGGUCAUUGGAAACUGGGAAACUUGAGUGCAGAAGAGGAGAGUGGAAUUCCACGUGUAGCGGUGAAAUGCGUAGAGGUGUGGAGGAACACCAGUGGCGAAGGCGACUCUCUGGUCUGUAACUGACGCUGAGGAGCGAAAGCGUGGGGAGCGAACAGGAUUAGAUACCCCUGUAGUCCCUGUCUCUUAUAC
rnacentral:rRNA from 1 species